rnacentral:rRNA from 1 species
UACAGAGGUGGCAAGCGUUGUUCGGAAUUACUGGGCGUAAAGGGCGCGUAGGCGGCCUUCUAAGUCAGACGUGAAAUCCCCCGGCUUAACCUGGGAACUGCGUCUGAUACUGGGAGGCUUGAGUUCGGGAGAGGUGAGUGGAACUGCGAGUGUAGAGGUGAAAUUCGUAGAUAUUCGCAAGAACACCAGUGGCGAAGGCGGCUCACUGGCCCGAUACUGACGCUGAGGUGCGAAAGCGUGGGGAGCAAACAGG